CGGGGAACGUUAACGGCGUCGAGCGGCGGACGGGUGAGUAAUGCCUGGGAAAUUGCCCUGAUGUGGGGGAUAACCAUUGGAAACGAUGGCUAAUACCGCAUAAUAGCUUCGGCUCAAAGAGGGGGACCUUCGGGCCUCUCGCGUCAGGAUAUGCCCAGGUGGGAUUAGCUAGUUGGUGAGGUAAUGGCUCACCAAGGCGACGAUCCCUAGCUGGUCUGAGAGGAUGAUCAGCCACACUGGAACUGAGACACGGUCCAGACUCCUACGGGAGGCAGCAGUGGGGAAUAUUGCACAAUGGGCGCAAGCCUGAUGCAGCCAUGCCGCGUGUAUGAAGAAGGCCUUCGGGUUGUAAAGUACUUUCAGCAGUGAGGAAGGUGGUGUCGUUAAUAGCGGCAUCAUUUGACGUUAGCUGCAGAAGAAGCACCGGCUAACUCCGUGCCAGCAGCCGCGGUAAUACGGAGGGUGCGAGCGUUAAUCGGAAUUACUGGGCGUAAAGCGCAUGCAGGUGGUUUGUUAAGUCAGAUGUGAAAGCCCGGGGCUCAACCUCGGAAUUGCAUUUGAAACUGGCAGACUAGAGUACUGUAGAGGGGGGUAGAAUUUCAGGUGUAGCGGUGAAAUGCGUAGAGAUCUGAAGGAAUACCGGUGGCGA
rnacentral:rRNA from 1 species